AUUGAACGCUGGCGGCAUGCCUUACACAUGCAAGUCGAACGGUAACGCGGGGCAACCUGGCGACGAGUGGCGAACGGGUGAGUAAUGUAUCGGAACGUGCCCAGUUGUGGGGGAUAACUGCUCGAAAGAGCAGCUAAUACCGCAUACGACCUGAGGGUGAAAGCGGGAGAUCGCAAGACCUCGCGCAAUUGGAGCGGCCGAUAUCAGAUUAGGUAGUUGGUGGGGUAAAGGCCUACCAAGCCUACGAUCUGUAGCUGGUCUGAGAGGACGACCCGCCACACUGGGUCUGAGACACGGCCCAGACUCCUACGGGAGGCAGCAGUGGGGAAUUUUGGACAAGGGGGGAAACCCUGAUCCAGCCAUGCCGCGUGCGGGAAGAAGGCCUUCGGGUUGUAAACCGCUUUUGUCAGGGAAGAAAUCCUUUGAACUAAUACUUCGGAGGGAUGACGGUACCUGAAGAAUAAGCACCGGCUAACUACGUGCCAGCCGCCGCAGUAA
rnacentral:rRNA from 1 species